rnacentral:tRNA from 1 species
GACCCAUUAGCUCAGUUGGUUAGAGCGUUGUGCUAAUAACGCGAAGGUUGCAGGUUCGAGACCUGCAUGGGCCA